UACACGCUGUGACUAGCAUAUCAAUAAGCGGAGGAAAAGAAACUAACAAGGAUUCCCUUAGUAACGGCGAGUGAAGCGGGAAGAGCUCAAAUUUGAAAUCUUGAAAGGUCACCUUUCACGAAUUGUAGUUUAAAGAAGUGUUUUCUGUUACGAUCGUAAUAUAAGUUCUUUGGAAUAGGACAUCACAGAGGGUGAGAAUCCCGUCUAUGAUUGCGAUUUGUAGCUUUGUGAUACACUUUCAAAGAGUCGGGUUGUUUGGGAAUGCAGCCCAAAACGGGAGGUAAAUUUCUUCUAAGGCUAAAUAUUGGCGAGAGACCGAUAGCGAACAAGUACCGUGAGGGAAAGAUGAAAAGAACUUUGAAAAGAGAGUUAAAUAGUACGUGAAAUUGUCAAAAGGGAAGCGUUUAACACCAGUGUUGUUUUCCGAAAAUCAACCUCUGUUAGCUUUAUGCAUGUUUGUUUAGACCUAAUCAGCUAUCUUUCAUGUUCUAUUGUUUGCAGUGGUGCACUUUUCAGUUUACAGGUCAACAUCAGUUUUUUUUACCGUAAAAAAGUUAAAGAAAGGUAGCUCAUGGCUCCGGUCGUGAGUGUUAUAGUCUUUUUCCUAUGCGGUAGGAGAGACUGAGGUCUGCAGUGUAGGCUAUUUGGCUAGAUACUCAGGUGCUAUGUGAUACCAUUUCAUAAACAACUUGUUGAUUAUGUUUUGUCUAUUGCAUACUCGCUUGUACUAUCAUACCUACGCUUAGGAUGUUGAGUAGCGACAUACGCAC
rnacentral:rRNA from 1 species